rnacentral:rRNA from 1 species
UGGCUUUCUGAUACCAGAGGUAAUGAUUAAUAGGGACAACUGGGGGCAUUCGUAUUGCGACGUUAGAGGUGAAAUUCUUGGAUCGUCGCAAGACGGACUAAAGCGAAAGCAUUUGCCAAAGGUGUUUUCAUUAAUCAAGAACGAAAGUUAGAGGUUCGAAGGCGAUUAGAUACCGCUGUAGUUCUAACCAUAAAUGAUGCCAGCCAGCGAUCCGCCGACGUUUCAAAAUUUUAACCCGGGUGGGCAGA